CUGCGGCAGCGAACGUAUCACCCAAGACAACUUUGCGGAGUUGACGAUUGACGGAGCGAAGCGACGUCAAAGCGUUCAUUAAAGUCGAGUUGGCUUAGGGAUACGUUCGUUGGGUAGGGGAGCGUUCUGUAAGCCUGUGAAGGUGUGUCGUGAGGCAUGCUGGAGGUAUCAGAAGUGCGAAUGCUGACAUAAGUAACGAUAAAGCGGGUGAAAAGCCCGCUCGCCGGAAGACCAAGGGUUCCUGUCCAACGUUAAUCGGGGCAGGGUGAGUCGACCCCUAAGGCGAGGCCGAAAGGCGUAGUCGAUGGGAAACGGGUUAAUAUUCCCGUACUUGGUGUUACUGCGAAGGGGGGACGGAGAAGGCUAUGUUGGCCGGGCGACGGUUGUCCCGGUUUAAGCGUGUAGGUGUGUGUUCCAGGUAAAUCCGGUUCACUUUAACACUGAGGCGUGACGACGAGGCACUACGGUGCUGAAGCAACAAAUGCCCUGCUUCCAGGAAAAGCCUCUAAGCAUCAGGUAACAUCAAAUCGUACCCCAAACCGACACAGGUGGUCAGGUAGAGAAUACCAAGGCGCUUGAGAGAACUCGGGUGAAGGAACUAGGCAAAAUGGUGCCGUAACUUCGGGAGAAGGCACGCUGACACGUAGGUGAAGUGAUUUACUCAUGGAGCUGAAGUCAGUCGAAGAUACCAGCUGGCUGCAACUGUUUAUUAAAAACACAGCACUGUGCAAACACGAAAGUGGACGUAUACGGUGUGACGCCUGCCCGGUGCCGGAAGGUUAAUUGAUGGGGUCAGCGCAAGCGAAGCUCCUGAUCGAAGCCCCGGUAAACGGCGGCCGUAACUAUAACGGUCCUAAGGUAGCGAAAUUCCUUGUCGGGUAAGUUCCGACCUGCACGAAUGGCGUAAUGAUGGCCAGGCUGUCUCCACCCGAGACUCAGUGAAAUUGAACUCGCUGUGAAGAUGCAGUGUACCCGCGGCAAGACGGAAAGACCCCGUGAACCUUUACUAUAGCUUGACACUGAACAUUGAGCCUUGAUGUGUAGGAUAGGUGGGAGGCUUUGAAGCGUGGACGCCAGUCUGCGUGGAGCCGACCUUGAAAUACCACCCUUUAAUGUUUGAUGUUCUAACGUGGACCCGUGAUCCGGGUUGCGGACAGUGUCUGGUGGGUAGUUUGACUGGGGCGGUCUCCUCCUAAAGAGUAACGGAGGAGCACGAAGGUUGGCUAAUCCUGGUCGGACAUCAGGAGGUUAGUGCAAUGGCAUAAGCCAGCUUGACUGCGAGCGUGACGGCGCGAGCAGGUGCGAAAGCAGGUCAUAGUGAUCCGGUGGUUCUGAAUGGAAGGGCCAUCGCUCAACGGAUAAAAGGUACUCCGGGGAUAACAGGCUGAUACCGCCCAAGAGUUCAUAUCGACGGCGGUGUUUGGCACCUCGAUGUCGGCUCAUCACAUCCUGGGGCUGAAGUAGGUCCCAAGGGUAUGGCUGUUCGCCAUUUAAAGUGGUACGCGAGCUGGGUUUAGAACGUCGUGAGACAGUUCGGUCCCUAUCUGCCGU
rnacentral:rRNA from 1 species